UGCUUCGGCUCGCGCACGGUGCGUGUACCCACUGACCUGUGCCCACUGUCUGGCACUCCCUAGUGAGAUGAACCCGGUACCUCAGAUGGAAAUGCAGAAAUCACCCUUCUUCUGCGUCGUUCACGCUGGGAGCUGUAGACCGGAGCUGUUCCAAUUCGGCCAUCUUGGCUCCUCCCCUGGACUCUUUAUUUCUUAAGGAGCUCAUUCUAAGGAUUAUGGAGAUAAACCAUGGAAAGGGAUUUCAUUGUAAUACCCACGAUUGAGAUGGUUGGAGAUAAAGCCAUUAUCCAGUGAUAGUUCAUCAUGUUGAAGGAAUCCUGCUUGUUCCUGCCCUCACAAGGAUGCAGCCUUCAAGGUGUCAUCUUGGAAGCAGAGACUGGGCCCUCAUCAGACACCAAACCCGUUGGCAUCUUAAUCUUGGAUUUCCUAGCCUCCAGAACCGUGUUAAAGAAGACUUCAGAGUGGAGGUGGUUUUCAGUACAGUCCUUGGGGGUGAGUAGACCUGGAGCAGAGAUUGGCCUACAGUCUAAAUGUGCACCCAUCUUGGAACUGUCAAAGAGCAUGGCAUAUUCAAGAAGGGUGAAUGCAGAACAUAGAGUGUGGAAAGAGGCUUAAGGAAGUCAAUUCGGCAAUAGAAUUUGAAGAGCCUUGCAUGAUAUGUCAAGAG
rnacentral:lncRNA from 10 species